rnacentral:rRNA from 1 species
GCAGUAGCCGCGGGAAUACGGGGGGUGCAAGCGUUAUUCGGAUUGAUUGGGUGUAAAGGGUGUGCAGACGGCUUAUUAAGUCACUUGUUAAAUUCCUCGGCCUAACUGAAGGUCUGCAAGUGAUACUGAUGAGCUAGAGGGUGGAAGAGAGAAGUGGAAUUCUCGGAGUAGCGGUAAAAUGCGUAGAUCUCGAGAGGAACACCAAUGGCGAAGGCAGCUUCUUGGUCCAUUCCUGACGUUCAUACACGAAAGCGUGGGGAGCAAACAGGAUUAGAUACCCGAGUAGUCCCUGUCUCUUAUAC